UUUUCCAUCCCCAACCUUCAGACCCCCGAAACCCUAACCCUAACCUUAACCCUAAUGGGUCGAGUCAUCAGAGCUCAGCGUAAAGGUGCUGGCUCAGUCUUCAAGUCCCACACCCACCACCGCAAGGGUCCAGCUCGCUUCCGCAGCCUCGACUUCGGUGAACGCAAUGGCUACCUCAAGGGCGUUGUCACCGAUAUCAUCCACGACCCUGGUCGAGGCGCUCCACUCGCCCGAGUUACCUUCCGUCACCCUUUUCGCUACAAGCAUCAGAAGGAGCUGUUCGUGGCCGCUGAAGGCAUGUACACUGGCCAGUUCGUC
rnacentral:lncRNA from 1 species